rnacentral:rRNA from 1 species
AUUGAACGCUGGCGGCAGGCCUAACACAUGCAAGUCGAACGCGAAAGUUCCUUCGGGGCGAGUAGAGUGGCGGACGGUGAGUAACGCGUAGGAAUCUGCCCUGUAGUGGGGGAUAACCCGGGGAAACUCGGGCUAAUACCGCAUACGCCCCACGGGGGAAAGCGGGGGAUCUUUCGGGACCUCGCGCUAUAGGAAGAGCCUGCGUCGGAUUAGCUAGUUGGUAGGGUAAAGGCCUACCAAGGCCACGAUCGGUAGCUGGUCUGAGAGGAUGAUCAGCCACACUGGGACUGAGACACGGCCCAGACUCCUACGGGAGGCAGCAGUGGGGAAUAUUGGACAAUGGGCGCAAGCCUGAUCCAGCAAUGCCGCGUGUGUGAAGAAGGCCUGCGGGUUGUAAAGCACUUUCAGUGGGGAAGAACAGAUUCGGGUCAAUACCCCGGAGCCCUGACGUUACCCACAGAAGAAGCACCGGCUAACNCCGUG